UAAAGUAAAUAACAUUGAUUUUAUUGUUACUAUGGCGCAUGUAAAGGGGUGUUUAUAUAUUAGACUGCAAGUGAACAGUCAGUUUCUUUCGUUUGCCUAUUUUUCCUGCUGCCAACAGAUGAAAUUCAAGAUCUGCAUGACUUUGACAAGGAAUUUAUAGUGAUGGCAAGACAACUGGAUCAAUGUCUCACCAAAAAGUAUGGUUCUUCCUGGUAUGCAGUGGUUAGUACCUACAAAAGAGGUGCAAGGAAGCACACCUGCUGAAGUGACGUCAAUGUCAUGGGUGC